rnacentral:rRNA from 1 species
UAGGGAAUCUUCCACAAUGGGCGCAAGCCUGAUGGAGCAACGCCGCGUGAGUGAAGAAGGGUUUCGGCUCGUAAAGCUCUGUUGGUAGUGAAGAAAGAUAGAGGUAGUAACUGGCCUUUAUUUGACGGUAAUCAGCCAGAAAGUCACGGCUAACUACGUG